UCCGAGUGGUAGGGACGAUUAUUGGGCUUAAAGCGUCCGUAGCCGGCCCGGCAAGUCUUCCGUUAAAUCCAACGAUUCAAUCGUUGGACUGCGGGAGACACUGUUGGGCUAGGAGGCGGGAGAGGCCGACGGUAUUCUCGGGGUAGGGGUAAAAUCCUAUAAUCCCGGGAAGACCACCAGUGGCGAAGGCGGUCGGCUAGAACGCGCUCGACGGUGAGGGACGAAAGCUGGGGGAGCGAACCGGAUUAGAUACCCGGGUAGUCCCAGCUGUAAACGAUGCGGGCUAGGUGUUGGAGCGGCUACGGGCCGCUUCAGUGCCGCAGGGAAACCAUUAAGCCCGCCGCCUGGGGAGUACGGCCGCAAGGCUGAAACUUAAAGGAAUUGGCGGGGGAGCACCACAAGGGGUGAAGCUUGCGGUUUAAUUGGAGUCAACGCCGGAAAACUUACCGGGGGCGACAGCAGGAUGAAGGCCAGAUUGAAGGUCUUGCUGGACGAGCUGAGAGGAGGUGCAUGGCCGUCGCCAGUUCGUGCCGCGAGGUGUCCUGUUAAGUCAGGCAACGAUCGAGACCCACGCCCCCUGUUGCCACCGAGGAGGUUUCUCCAAGGGGCACUCUGGGGGGACUGCCGUCGAUAAGGCGGAGGAAGGAGUGGGCCACGGCAGGUCAGUAUGCCCCGAAUCCCCCGGGCCACACGCGAGCUGCAAUGGCUGGGACAGUGGGUUCCGACCUCGAGAGGGGGAGGUAAUCCCUAAACCCAGCCGUAGUUGGGAUCGAGGGCUGAAACUCGCCCUCGUGAACAUGGAAUCCCUAGUAAUCGCGCGUCAUCAUCGCGCGG
rnacentral:rRNA from 1 species